rnacentral:lncRNA from 1 species
GUUCUAUCCAAUGAACUUAAUUCCUUUGUGCAUGAACCGAAAAAAGGAAAACAAGUAACUUGGUAAUUUCCCUCUCUGAGUUUUCCAAACUACUCAAUCAAACGGUGAGGGUCUCACACCUCGAUCACAUCAAUCUGCCUACGCAGUCAUCCGUCACAGAUCCUUAUCAGGAUACUUCACAGCCAUCAGCAACCGAUUCCACAAAUCUAUCCAAAAG